rnacentral:rRNA from 1 species
AACGUAGGUGGCAAGCGUUAUCCGGAAUUACUGGGCGUAAAGCGCGCGCAGGCGGCUAUCCAAGUCAGUGGUGAAAGCCCGGAGCUCAACUCCGGAACUGCCAUUGAAACUGUUUAGCUUGAGGAUGAGAGAGGUGAGUGGAAUUCCCAGUGUAGAGGUGAAAUUCGUAGAUAUUGGGAAGAACACCGGUGGCGAAGGCGGCUCACUGGCUCAUUACUGACGCUCAGGCGCGAUAGCGUGGGGAUCAAACAGG